CCAGACUCCUACGGGAGGCAGCAGUGGGGAAUAUUGGGCAAUGGGCGCAAGCCUGACCCAGCAACGCCGCGUGAAGGAAGAAGGCUUUCGGGCUGUAAACUUCUUUUAUGAGGGACGAAGGAAGUGACGGUACCUCAUGAAUAAGCCACGGCUAACUACGUGCCGGCAGCCGCGGUAAUACGUAGGGGGCAAGCGUUAUCCGGAUUUACUGGGUGUAAAGGGAGCGUAGGUGGCGUGCCAAGUCAGGAGUGAAAACCCAGGGCCCAACCCUGGGACUGCUCUUGAAACUGGCAGGCUUGAGUGCUGGAGAGGUAAGCGGAAUUCCUAGUGUAGCGGUGAAAUGCGUAGAUAUUAGGAGGAACACCAGUGGCGAAGGCGGCUUACUGGACAGUGACUGACACUGAGGCUCGAAAGCGUGGGGAGCAAACAGGAUUAGAUACCCCGGUAUU
rnacentral:rRNA from 1 species